rnacentral:rRNA from 1 species
AAUCAACGCUGGCGGCGUGCCUCAGACAUGCAAGUCGAACGAUUAAAGCUCUCUUCGGAGAGUGCAUAGAGUGGCGCACGGGUGAGUAACACGUAAGUAAUCUACCUUCGAGUGGGGAAUAACGUCCGGAAACGGACGCUAAUACCGCAUAAUGCAGCGGCAUCGCAAGAUGACAGUUGUUAAAGGAGCAAUUCGCUUGAAGAGGAGCUUGCGGCAGAUUAGCUAGUUGGUAAGGUAAUGGCUUACCAAGGCUACGAUCUGUAACCGGUCUAAGAGGACGGUCGGUCACACUGACACUGAAUAACGGGUCAGACUCCUACGGGAGGCAGCAGUCGGGAAUUUUGGGCAAUGGGCGAAAGCCUGACCCAGCAACGCCGCGUGAAGGAUGAAGUAUUUUCGGUAUAGUAAACUUCGAAAGAAAUGGGAAGAAUCAAUGACGGUACCAUUUAUAAGGUCCGGCUAACUACGUGCCAGCCGCCGCGGUAAU